AAGACUACGACUUGCUUCUGCUUAUUUUCUUGCUUUGAGUAGGUAAUCGUCAGAAGGGAUUCUCUAGCCUCUAGCGGAGCUACGAAAUUGCAAAUGGAGAUGAAGAGGAGGCAAAGCUUGCAUAUUUUGGAUGCCAAUUAAAGAGCACAACCCCAUAGAAAGCCAACUAUCAAGUAGCUGCAAUUGUCCUCAGUAGAUUGCGUAUGCUGCACAAGAACAAUUGUUCAGGCACUCUGCUUGACAAUCAAAAAGGCUCAAGUUGUAACUUUGAUCGAACUUCUGUCCUUCAGCAGACAUGAAUCCUUUCCUUGCCUCGAACGAAACAUUCUGGCUCCUGCACUCAGGCAUCUUUUGUGCCACACAGCCAGGAUCAGGGAAUAUGUGAAGUAAUUUGCGCCAUCAUUGGAGAUGAAGCGAAAGUUUGGAUUGCCUUCGUUUGAUAAUUGAGACACUAGUUCAAAACGCCCAUUUUGCCACAUUCCACUUGUCCAAUAUAUGCUUCCUUUACACCAUAUGACAAUUUGGGUGCUACUAUUGUCGCGACCCAUGCCAAUGGUAAGAGAAAAAGACCCUUGGGCUGGGAUAUUGUCAUUUAUCCAUGAAGUGAGCGACCACACUUGCAUUUUUCUUUCAUCAAAUCCAAGUUUCAUCCCAGGCAAGAGUGUGUCUGUGGGGUAAUCAAAGCUUUGCCAUAGAAUCUGCUUUGUAGAACCAUCUAAAUUAAAUUCUUUCAACACGAAAUUCCCUGAAUCCAAUAGUGUUGCACUUACAUUACUAGCUGCUUCAACAGAACUUAAAGGAAAACUGGAGCUGCCUUCAUUAUAUAAAAUUGUCAACUUGCCUGAUUCGUCUAUUUUCAGAAUGUCGCCUGAAUCAGAGAUUGGAUUAUCUCGGUUGGCAACCCACACCACCUUCUUCUUGGCAAUGAAAACUUCAUUCUCAUCCACCAUGUUGUACCAUAUUCCCAAAUAUCGGCUUCUGGAAGUGCCAGGGCUAAAGAAUCCUAAUUUGAAAGUCCCAUCAGCUGAAACCAGAUGAUCGUAGUCCUUGAGCUGUUGGCCUUGAAGUAACGUGUCUGCAAAUGAAUGAGAGAGACCAAUCAACAGGAAAUAACAUAACGAACUGAGAAGGAUUUUGCUUCUCUGUUUGGUGUCCAUAAUGGAGAGGUUUGAAGAUGGAGGUGAAUAAAAAGUAUCUAUCGUUACAUGAUACUUAGCUGUUUAUUUUGACUCUUGACUUAUCCGAUGGUGGUUAAUGUGAAACAUCAUGUGGGUCUAUUUCUUCUC